AUUGUCUACCUGUAACUGUGUGUGCGUAACUGUCUACCUGUAACUGUGUGUGUGUGACUGCAUGCCUGUAACUGACUGUGUGUGUAACUGCCUGUGACUGUGUGUGUUUGUGGCUGUAACUAUGUGCUUGACUGUCUACCUGUGACCGUGUGUGUGACUGUAUAUGUGACUGUCUGCCUGUAACAGUGUGAGUGACUGUGUGUAACUGCUU